GAAACUGAGCUGGGCCUUUGGGCAUAUUCUGGCAAAGUAAACCUGGCAUGAUUUCAGUGGGGUAAGGAGAAAAAUAGAAGGCACACCAAUGGCAUAAAAUUUAAUUGGAAAAGGCAUCCUAGGAAUGAUGCAGCAGGCAAAAGGAUGACGAUAAGUUCAGGGUGUUCUAUUGGUAAUGCUUACAAGUUUACAUAGUUGACUGUAUGUGGCAUUUGUUGCAUAUUUUUUUGGCCAGGCCCAUAGAUGUGGAAGUCCCCAAGCUAGGGAAUUAACCCAUGUGACAUCAGUAACCACAGCCAAAGCAGUGACAAUGCCAGAUCCUUAAGCCACUAAGCCAACAGGGAACUCUCUGUUGUGUUUUAAAUAUACAGUAUAUAUCAGAGCUCCCGUUGUGGCUCAGCAGAGUUAAGGACCCAUCUGUGAGGAUGCCAAUUUAAUCCCUGGCCUCUCUUCGGGUUAAAUAUCUAGUGUUUCUGUAAGCUGCAGUGUAGAUAAAAGAUUUGGGGCUCCAUUCUGCUGUUGCCAUGGCUGUGGUAUAGGCCUCAGCUGAAGCUCCAAUUCAGCCCCUGGCCCAGGAACUUUCAUAAGCUGCAGAUGCAGCCAUAAAAAUGAAAAAUACAGUAAGAUAAAUAAAUAUGCAAUAUAAACUUGUUCUCAGGAGAUUUCUUGGGAGUUCCCCUAGUGCCUCAGUGGUAAAGAAACUAGUAUUCAUGAGGGUGCAGGUUCAAUCCCUGGCCUUGCUCAUUGGGUUAAGGAUCCGGCGUUGCUGUGAGCUGUGGUGUAGGUUGCAGGCCUGGCUUGGUUCCUGGGUUGCUGUGGCUGUGGUGUAGGCUGGCAGCUUGCAGCUCCGAUUUGACCCCUAGCCUGGGAACCUCCAUAUGCCAUGUGUACGGCCCUAAAAAACAAAAUAAAUAAAUAAUAAAUAAAUAUGCAAAAGCUUGAUAGAAGUGACAGAAAGUACAUAAAAAUUUAUUUUUGUUUAAUAGGUUUAUGUCUAAUUAGUUGACCAAUGGAGGGGGGGACACUAAUAGUGCCAGAUAACUGGAAUCAGUGUUAUUUAACAGCAUGGGUUUCCAUCAACAAUGGAACAAACUUCUAGGCUUUAUUUCAUCCAAGUCCAAGAAGCUCCCUGCGGUGGUGGUGGCAGCACUGCAUCCUUUAAAGUUGCUAAUCAUGUUCCUCAUGGGUCCUGGCCACCUUUUCCAACAGUCUCUGGUCAUGGGCCAUUUGUGCCUGUUUUGUUAUAAUAUAUCUCUCCCAUAAUCCCUAAAGCUCAUGCAGAUGAUGUUUAGAGAUCCCAUCGGAAAAGAACACAGACACUGCUCCUUGUUUAAUCCCUACUUAAAUAAGAUGGUAUCUUAUAAUGACAUUACAUAGUCUACAAGACCUUUGUCAAAUGCUUUUCAUUUUAAUGUAUUUUUGUUGUUGUCUUCUCUGAGAAGGUUUGAACUCUUGCAUGUGUUAACUGAUGCAGGGGUGAAUGGAAAUAAGUAUUGAUCAAACUAGUACUUUUACACUUUUUUUUUUCCUUUCUCUCAUAGGGUUUCUUGAGUUUUCUUUUUUUGUUUUUUUAAUAGCAUUGCUUUCAUUUUUGUUCACAGCACAGUGACAAGGGGGUGUGUGAAUAUCCUUACUCUUAUUACAGAUUCAAUCAUUGGCCCUUUGCCUUUACAUAUUUCAAACAAGAAAACUUCCCCCUCUAGUUAAAAGUCUCAAUUGAGUUGACAUAUGAAAAGCAUGCACACAUGAACACACACACACAUUUUAGGGUACUGCAAAUCAAAUGACAUUCCAUUUUCUGGGUAGCUCUAUGCAUUGACCUCAGAAAGGUUAUGUCUUAAAGUCUACAUUGUUGUUUGAAGACCUUUGACAGGAGAUUCUGGGGUUGUAACCUGAGUUUGUAAUUCUAACAAUCUGUAUGUUUAGAACACAAGUUCCUGAGGUCUAACGGACAUUCUUAGCUGCUAAAGACAGAGCCUUGAGGUUGUCUGUCCCUAUCUUGUGUACCCAUUGCUUGCUAAAUAACAGCCUCUGAUUUUAUCAGAUGUAACUAACCUCUGAAUACUUCUCUCUUAAUUUGGGAUGUAGAGAGGUGUUCACCUUCUGAUCCCUGCUCCAACUAUAGGAACAUUCUGUUUCAGAAACAUACACACACACGGAAGAGAUUAUAGGAUAGAGGGAGAACGAAUGUGAGACCCACCUGAGCAAGGUGAUAAAAAAGACGUGAAAUAUUCUUAUGCCAGCCAAAAAGAGUUGUAACCAUACAUUGAGAAAUGAUGAUUUAAGGAUUUGAAAUACUUACUGCCUUAUUUCUAGGUGUUGAGAAGCAUCAGUAGUAUCUGCUUUUAAAAAAGCAAUAAGCUAUUGAAUGCCAAUAGAAAGAUUAAUUUUAUAUCUAAUUUGACUGUUAAAAAGAGGAAUUAUUACUCAUGUAGGAUAUUAUGCAAAGUAAAUAAUAUGAAUGAAUGUAUGAAUUUAGAAAUACAUAUUUUAUUUAUUCAUCCUAGCUACAUAGUUAGAGGUUUUUUAUGGAGUUUGUACAUAGGCAUGGAACUACUAUUUCAUAUAGAACAUGGUUUUUCUUCUUUACUAGAUUUUGGCAAACCUCUCAUCCACCCCUUAAAUGUGUGUGUGAGCAUAUGCAUGCAUGAGCGCACACACACACACACACAUCACUCUUUAAACAUUUUACUUGCAGUGUACUCUUAAGCUCCUAGGCAUGAAGGAAGCCUACUGAAAGUGACUUUUUUCUCCAGGUCACUGCUUAUGAUUACAGCUUAAAUGCAGAAUACAAUUCUGCCAUGUUUUCCCUCAUCUCAUCAAGCACAGCUUCUUCUCUUAUGAAAACAACAUCCAACUGUAAUGAUCAAGGUCAUUGGAACAUUUUCAUUGAAUGUAAGCAAAACUGAGUUCUUUAGAACACUUUGACCAAAGAUCAGAUGCUCAGAAUCAGUUUGGGAAAAGGAAUACUAUUGAAAAGUUACAGCUCUAUGGUGUCUAAUGAAAGGAAGAUCAAAAGGAAUCAUUACAGCUGGAUUAUGAACUUGGAGAAAAGACGGUAUUAACACUUUCAGAGUUUUGAUAAUGGCAGGCUAAAGAUUGUUGAUUAGAAUUCAUUAUUCUAGUGUAUUACCAGUCUUAAAAGAGUUGGAUACCUUUUUAAAAAAAGGAGUCUUAAAAUAAUGAUGUUAAUUAAUCACUAAACUUAAACUGCACUCAAAAUUAUUUGGGGUUAAGAAAUGAAAUCUAACACGAGUGAAAGGAAGACAUGGGUUUUUCCCCCUCACUCCCUGGCUAUGCAGCUGGGGAUGGUCUUUGGUGAUGUUUCCACAGGUGAGGAAAACCAGGUGUUUUAUGCAUCCUCUCACAAAGAUGUUGCCAACAGAAGCUAUGAAUCAACCAAGUUCUGUCUGGGAAGCAGCUGCUGCUAUUUUCCUUUAGUUGUGGCUGAUAAUUAAAAAGACUUUCAUGGUAGAAGGAAGCUGUGGUCCCAGUUAUUCUGAUUAUCUUACAUAAGGAAGGCAAAGGUUUCUCCUCUGGACUCAAGGAAUAGACACAGGGACUGUAUAGCAAGUCACUUUCAUUCCAGACCACAGUCAUCUCGUCUGUGGAAAUAAGAUUGGGUUCCAGGCUCACUAAGGUCUCUCAGCUCCACCAUCCUAUAAUUCUAACUCCUGAAUUUUUCGCAACUAGACAGAUUCUAACAAAUCAACAACUUAUUUUCCUUUAUUUUAGAGCAAACUGUUGUUCACUGACAGAUUGCCAUGACUGACCACAGAGGCCCUGCAAUGGAAUGUUAAUACAGCAGUAGGAUUUUGUGUAUUUUUUGUAGGAUUGUAGAAAAAUAUGUUUGUGACUAGUCUAAUAUAUCUUUUGCUAAAAUAUUCUGAAACUAUCGGAGGGUUAGAUAAAUAACAUGGAAACAUUAACUUUGUUACAAGGUAAUAGCUUGUAAGUGUCCAAAGUGCCUUUAUAAGAGAUACUCUAUUUGAAUUUACCUCUGUUUGUAGACACAUACACACACAGACACAUAGACACACGUGAGCAUUUGAAGUUGUGCCGCAUUGAUAUAUAUUGUGAUAUCAAAAAAACAAAUUCAAUGAAUUCAGUCUUCUUCCCUGCUGUAUAAAGUCCUGUAGUCUGACAGAUCUCUUUGAUUUACAAAUCUAAAAAGAUCUGUCCUAGCUUAAGGGUUCCAAGUUAUUUUAGGAUAAAAUGUAAAACUCUUACCAUGAAAUACAGGCACCUCAAUACCCAACUUCUCACUUUUCUAGGCUUUAAGUUGGCUACCAUUUCUCUCUCUGAUACAAUCUGUGCUCCAGCCAUUCUGACCUACUUUCAAAUUCUUGAAAUCUCUUCCCACCCACCACCGCCCCAGUGUUAAGCCUUUAUAGUGUCUAUCUCCCUUGACAGAAAUGUGCUUCCCCUAACUCCACAUCCUUCUCUUCCUUCUGGUUACAGCUGAGUAAAUUUGACUUUGGGUGAAGGAGAUUAUAAUCAUUUCUUCAUAUCAGUUCUGCAUCUGACAACAGAGAAAGAGCCUAAGACUUUAAUUAAUGAAUUAUUUCAUAUUUAUUGAACAGCUGCUGCUACUGUGUAAAUAUUCCACAGGGUACAUACAUGGGAACAAGAUACAGACCCUUCUUUAAAAAACUAGGUAUGUGAAAUAUACAGACAUAAUGAUAAUGGAGAAUGACACAUGGGAAAUCCAAGAGCAACGGAGGUGAGAAUAGACGGUGACCACAUUCUAUUGAAUUUGGAAAACAACUUAUUUUAAUGUUAUUCUAUAUAAGAAUUUAUAAACUGCUUUGGUUCAAAGGACCUUCGUCCUUUGAAAGGCCCUGUCCAGUCUACUCUUGGGCAGUUGUCCCAGGAUCAAAUGAGUAGGUCUUAGACGCCCAAUUCCAGUUCAGUCAGAGCAGUUCUCCUCAUUUUCUGGAGCUUUAAAAAUGUUUGAAAGUCACGGGUCUCUUCUACCAGAUUAAUGGUGUAUUAUGGCAUUAAUAGGAAUUCUGAAGUUUAUUUAUACUUUCAAAGAAAUUGGGGGAUAGUAAAUGCAACGUCUCAAUUGAUAGCACCACAUGUUCCCCAAGUUGCUGAGGUAAAUAGUGAUUUAGCAGUUUAGGGCCAUAUAUGAUAUUAAGGCAUCUCAGGAUAAUGCAUGCUUGACAAAUGCAUUCAUUGUUCUUUUUUCUUUGCUUCUGGUAGAAUUUCACAGAUGUAUUAUUUAUUUGAAAUUAUAGAAAUAACAUUUAUUAGAAAUUACUCUAAAGCAGCAUGAUCUUUGAGAAUGACUCAACACCCUGUAUUAAUUGCAAAUGUGUCAAUAUUUUGCAGUAGGAAUUCUGUUUUUUCAAUCAGGGGAAAGAGGCAUGGAGCUAAUAACUACAAAUACUUAAAAUACCCAUGGAAGAAAAAUGGCAUCUUAACCAAAGUACCUUUUUUUUUUUUUUUUUUAACCCGAGUAUGUUAUAGUACAUGGUUUAAGCUACUUGUAAUUUCUGUCUUAAUCCUGCUUUGUUUUGAGCUAAACUAAGCAUCCUUUCCUAGGAUUCAAGUGUUCACUGUAUGAGGUAAAUUAACUCUUACAGUCCUCUAGGGUACCAAUUAAUGCCCCAGAGGAGGUAAAUUACUAAAUGGUACCCCGCUGCUCUGAAAGACUGAAUUUGUCUCAAAUGUUUCACUUGCUCCCUGGUAGAAAGUAGAUUACUCCCAAUGGUUCUCUGUAAAACAGGAUCUAUUUUUAAAUGGGAAAUUAGAUUCCAUCUGAUCAGCAGGCUAAAGCUUCCCAAAUGUAUUAUACAGUAGUCAUGAUUGGAUUAUCAAAAGCUAUAAAUGCCUGUAAUGAAAGCUUGAGAGGCCAAAAGUAAAUAAAGGACAUGGGAAAGAAUAUUUAGAAUAUUUAAAAUAUAUAAAGUUUUGUAAGCAUAGUGAGACCAAGGUAUUUGAGUUUUAUUAUUAGGGUGGUACCAUCUAUCAUUAUUAUUCAGAAGUGAUAUUAUUAUACAAAGAUGUUACCAACAGUAUAGAUCCUCUUCUUCAUGCAUUAAAAAAUAUGAUACAGAAACGAGAAGACUGUCACUCCAGCCCACGAAUUUGUAAUGUUGUUUGAAUUCACUGCUUUUGUAAGAUGCUCUUUCGAUGGGUCUGUUAGAAAGUUUUAUUUUAUAUUGAGGUAAAAAUUACUUUCCUAGAUCUUCAUUUGCUCAUUAUUACACAAAUAGUUUUAAGCGCCAGUAAGUGUGUGAUACU
rnacentral:lncRNA from 1 species